CCUGGCCCCAUUCUCCGGUCCUCCAGCGCAAGCGCCACCAUCGCCAGCGCCACUUCGGCGUCAGCUCGCUCCGCUCUCUCCUUCCCAUGCCAAGGCUCGCUCAAGGCGCGAUGGCGCCGGAUCGCACGCGAGCAGGGUAAGGCGCAAGAAACGCCCGGACGCGCUAACAAAAGAAGCC
rnacentral:lncRNA from 1 species